rnacentral:rRNA from 1 species
UGCAGUCGAGCGGUAGCACAGGAGAGCUUGCUCUCCGGGUGACGAGCGGCGGACGGGUGAGUAAUGUCUGGGAAACUGCCUGAUGGAGGGGGAUAACUACUGGAAACGGUAGCUAAUACCGCAUAACGUCUUCGGACCAAAGUGGGGGACCUUCGGGCCUCACGCCAUCAGAUGUGCCCA